GUCAGGUGCCAUGGCAUGCAUCUGUAGUCCUAGCUACUUGGGAGGUUGAGACAGGAGAAUCACUUGAGUACAGAAGUUCUGGACUUUAGUGCAAUAUGUCAGUGGGGUGUCCACAUGAAGUUCUGCAUCAAUAUGUUCACCUUGUGGGAGGAAGGGACCACCAGGUUGCCUAAGGAGGGAUGAAUAGGCUCAAGUUGGAAACAGAGCAGAUUAAAACUUCCAUACUAAUCAGUAGUGGCAUCUUACCAACAGCCACUGCACUUCAAACUGUGCAACACAGGGAGACCUCUAUUCUU
ensembl:misc_RNA Metazoa_SRP Metazoan signal recognition particle RNA